GACGAACGCUGGCGGCGUGCUUAACACAUGCAAGUCGAACGAUGAAGCCUUCGGGUGGAUUAGUGGCGAACGGGUGAGUAACACGUGGGUGAUCUGCCCUGCACUCUGGGAUAAGCCUGGGAAACUGGGUCUAAUACCGGAUAUUUCCUAUCGUUCGCAUGGUUGGUGGGGGCAAGCUUUUGCGGUGUGGGAUGGGCCCGCGGCCUAUCAGCUUGUUGGUGGGGUGAUGGCCUACCAAGGCGACGACGGGUAGCCGGCCUGAGGGGGUGUCCGGCCACACUGGGACUGAGAUACGGCCCAGACUCCUACGGGAGGCAGCAGUGGGGAAUAUUGCACAAUGGGCGCAAGCCUGAUGCAGCGACGCCGCGUGGGGGAUGACGGCCUUCGGGUUGUAAACCUCUUUCAGUACCGACGAAGCGCAAGUGAUGGUAGGUACAGAAGAAGCACCGGCCAACUACGUGCCAGCAGCCGCCGUAAUAC
rnacentral:rRNA from 1 species